rnacentral:tRNA from 1 species
AGAGUAAUAAUUAAGGAGCCGCUAACUACCUUUACAGUGGAAAUACCACUUUACUCUU